UACGUAGGGUGCGAGCGUUAAUCGGAAUUACUGGGCGUAAAGCGUGCGCAGGCGGCUUUGCAAGACAGAUGUGAAAUCCCCGGGCUUAACCUGGGAACUGCAUUUGUGACUGCAAGGCUAGAGUACGGCAGAGGGGGAUGGAAUUCCGCGUGUAGCAGUGAAAUGCGUAGAUAUGCGGAGGAACACCGGUGGCGAAGGCAACUCCCCGUGGGCCUGUACUGACGCUCAUGCACGAAAGCGUGGGGAGCAAACAGGAUUAGAACCGU
rnacentral:rRNA from 1 species